UACGUAGGGGGCAAGCGUUAUCCGGAUUUACUGGGUGUAAAGGGAGCGUAGACGGCAUAGCAAGUCUGAAGUGAAAGCCCGUGGCUCAACCGCGGAACUGCUUUGGAAACUGUUAAGCUGGAGUACUGGAGAGGCAAGCGGAAUUCCUAGUGUAGCGGUGAAAUGCGUAGAUAUUAGGAGGAACACCAGUGGCGAAGGCGGCUUGCUGGACAGAGACUGACGUUGAGGCUCGAAAGCGUGGGGAGCAAACGGG
rnacentral:rRNA from 1 species